UACGGAGGGGGCUAGCGUUGUUCGGAAUUACUGGGCGUAAAGCGCACGUAGGCGGCUUGGUAAGUUAGAGGUGAAAGCCUGGAGCUCAACUCCAGAAUUGCCUUUAAGACUGCCGAGCUAGCAGGUGAGAGAGGUGAGUGGAAUUCCGAGUGUAGAGGUGAAAUUCGUAGAUAUUGGGAAGAACACCGGUGGCGAAGGCGGCUCUCUGGCCUCUUGCUGACGCUCAGGCACGAAAGCGUGGGGAGCAAACAGG
rnacentral:rRNA from 1 species